CGCCUCGUUCGCGCGCGCAUUGUGAGCAUUCAAGUUUCGUUUCUUGCACUUGCUUAGUAGCUGAAAUUGCGGACAUUGCAGGGUUGGGCUUGAUGACAUUUGUUGCUCAGCUGCCGCGACACAUUUGGAGCAAAGCUUCUGCUUAUUUCCUUUGGCCGCACCUUAUAUUUGUUGUCUUUGUCAACAUCUGACCUGUUUCUGCCUUGUUGAAAGCAAGUGGCCACAAGUACUGCUUAGUUUGCUCAGUCUAAACCUGGUAGUGCAUCCAGUUUAGCGCCGUGCACAUGUGUACGGACGCGUGCAUGGACGUAACGCUGCUGCCCAUCGCGAGUCGUAAGCGGAAAAAAAAGGCCGACUGAAAAAAAACAACAAGAAAUAUAAUAAGCUGCACGAUCAACAGAUUUUUGAAGAGACCGUUUCAACAGAGAUAUCUGAAGCAGAUCGUUAUUGGACAUGAAGAAAUGUGCAGUGGAUAACAGCAAAACAUGUGGUAACCGACUGACUGACGGUAGUAAGGCUCACAGCCUAAGUUUUUCACUAUUUACACCGAUAAUGUAGCACGUAUUUGCGCAAUUAAAUCACCUGCUAUGCGCAGCAACCGCACUCAAUUGAAGCCGCCAACGCAGCGAUGCACCAUUUGCUAUUUCAGGAUCACGAAAAACAAUGUAUUCACCGAAGUACAGCGGCGGUUGACCUGUCGGCAAGCUGUUAAUUCACAUAUGGCGAAAGCAAAUGUCACGGCGUCCAAGCCCACGAAACUGUGCUCACAAGAAUAUCCCGCAGCUUGGGCCUUUCCGACAUGCACAAUAGCGCACGCAGAGCGUGGUGCAGCCGACACCCGACAUUCGUGACUGAUCUACGUUCGAGAGUAGCUAUUUCAAAAAGCAAACAAAAAGAAAGAAACAAUGUGACGUCGCAUCCGGCAAAGGAGAGUUGUUCUCCUUUCUCACCUUCUCUCAACUCAGGCAUGCGCAGCGACCACGGAGCCCUCGGGGGCGACGUUCAGGUUAUACGAACGUCCGUGAAAGCAUUGCUUUCGAGCAAACCUUUUCAAAUUAAGUUUUCGCUCAUGUCCACGAGAUAGCAAAUUUCAGUGUUACAUUAGCCGCUAUAUUUUCCAAUUUCAUGUGACCUAGCUACCUC